rnacentral:rRNA from 1 species
GUGGGGAAUUUUGGACAAUGGGGGCAACCCUGAUCCAGCCAUGCCGCGUGCGGGAAGAAGGCCUUCGGGUUGUAAACCGCUUUUGUCAGGGAAGAAAUCCUUUGGGUUAAUACCUCGGAGGGAUGACGGUACCUGAAGAAUAAGCACCGGCUAACUACGUGCCAGCAGCCGCGGUAAUACGUAGGGUGCGAGCGUUAAUCGGAAUUACUGGGCGUAAAGCGUGCGCAGGCGGUUUUGUAAGAUCGAUGUGAAAUCCCCGGGCUCAACCUGGGAACUGCAUUGGUGACUGCAAGGCUGGAGUGCGGCAGAGGGGGAUGGAAUUCCGCGUGUAGCAGUGAAAUGCGUAGAUAUGCGGAGGAACACCGAUGGCGAAGGCAAUCCCCUGGGCCUGCACUGACGCUCAUGUACGAAAGCGUGGGGAGCAAACAGGAUUAGAAACCCUUGUAGUCC